GACGGAGGACGCAAGUGUUAUCCGGAAUCACUGGGCGUAAAGCGUCUGUAGGUGGUUUAAUAAGUCAACUGUUAAAUCUUGAAGCUUAACUUCAAAAUCGCAGUCGAAACUAUUAGACUUGAGUAUAGUAGGGGUAAAGGGAAUUUCCAGUGGAGCGGUGAAAUGCGUAGAGAUUGGAAAGAACACCGAUGGCGAAGGCACUUUACUGGGCUAUUACUGACACUCAGAGACGAAAGCUAGGGUAGCAAAUGGG
rnacentral:rRNA from 1 species